UCCGCAGUAGCUCAAUGGUAGAGCGCCUCCCUGUUAAGGAGAUGGUUGUAGGUUCGAGUCCUACCUGCGGAGCCA
rnacentral:tRNA from 1 species